UACGUAGGUGGCAAGCGUUGUCCGGAUUUAUUGGGUUUAAAGGGUGCGUAGGCGGCUUAUUAAGUCAGUGGUGAAAUACUCUAGCUCAACUAGAGGGGUGCCAUUGAUACUGAUGAGCUUGAGUACAGAUGAGGUAGGCGGAAUUGACGGUGUAGCGGUGAAAUGCUUAGAUAUCGUCAAGAACACCUAUAGCGAAGGCAGCUUACUAGGCUGUAACUGACGCUGAGGCACGAAAGCGUGGGGAGCAAAC
rnacentral:rRNA from 1 species